rnacentral:ncRNA from 21 species
GGGUAAACUAUACAUAGUUGCCGUGUAAUCCCCGGAAUUGGCCGGGGAGCAUCCACCUCCGGACCUUAAUCCGGAUUCACCACGGCAAGCAGCAAUACGCGG